GAUCCUGGCUCAGGAUGAACGCUGGCGGCGUGCUUAACACAUGCAAGUCGAACGAAGCAAUUUGAUCGGAUCUCUUCGGAGUGACGAACUUAUUGACUGAGUGGCGGACGGGUGAGUAACGCGUGGGUAACCUGCCUUGCACAGGGGGAUAACAGUUAGAAAUGACUGCUAAUACCGCAUAACCCGCUAGUACCGCAUGGUACGGACGGAAAAGAUUUAUCGGUGUAAGAUGGACCCGCGUCUGAUUAGCUAGUUGGUGAGGUAACGGCUCACCAAGGCAACGAUCAGUAGCCGGCUUGAGAGAGUGAUCGGCCACAUUGGGACUGAGACACGGCCCAAACUCCUACGGGAGGCAGCAGUGGGGAAUAUUGCACAAUGGGGGAAACCCUGAUGCAGCGACGCCGCGUGAGUGAAGAAGUAUUUCGGUAUGUAAAGCUCUAUCAGCAGGGAAGAAAAUGACGGUACCUGACUAAGAAGCCCCGGCUAACUACGUGCC
rnacentral:rRNA from 1 species